UCCCCACUUGAGCCUGAAGGGCUCCUCAAGAGCAAAGGAUUGUGUCACUUCCCUUCCCUUUCCUGAACUCCCUCUCCGGUCCUGCUGCUGUUAUUACAGGGGGCUCCCUCCAGGUUACUGCCUCUGAGAAGCCUUCCCUGGCGCCUCCAAACAGAGGGACCAUUGCAGUACUUUCAGGUUACAAAAGAUCAUCACUUCUAUCCUGCUGGCCAACCCUCUCUCCAGCCUUCUCAGCUUGCAUAUUCCAUGAAACAAGCUGCCAUGCUGGCAAGGACCACAUGGCAAGGAAUUGAGAGCAUCCUCUGGCCAGCAGCAAGCUAGGAACCGAGGCCCUCAGUCCAACAACCCUCGAGGGACUGAAUUCUGCCAACAACCAUGUAAACUUGGAUGUGGAUCCUUCCCCAAGUGAGCCUUCAGAGGAGAUGCCAACCCUGGCCAAAACUUUGGUUACAGCCUGUGAGAUAUUCUAAAGCAAAGGAGCUGGCUAAGUUGUGCCCUGACUCUGGCCUACAGAAACUGAGAUAAUAAAAGAAUAUUGUUUUGAGCCAUGA